UUUCCAUUGAAACUUGUAAUGGCACCAAACCUACCAUCUAUACCUAUGUUCUCCUAUUUAGAAUAACAAUUAAUUGUACAUCUUUUAUUUUGAUUAAAUUUACAUAAAUGUCUUAUUUUUGUUUUUUGGUAUGUUUUUGUUAAAACUUUUAAAAGAUAAUAAAAAAAGUAAAACCCUUAAAAGCAGAAAAAAAAAAAAUUAUAACUUUUAAAUCAAUUUUUUUAAUAAAUCAUACUAUCAUCAGACAAAACCGGCUUCUAAGAUACGUGUUUGCUUGGUCAAUGGGCGAAGGUCCAAUUGGGUUCUUAUUUGGAGAUCCGAUGAAAUCGGUACGCUUCAUAUUCAUCCCAUUCCUAUAAUUCACCUUACAGCAAAAUCAGUGAAAACAACUGAUGAAUCUCCCCUUCGCUAAAUCAAUAAGUUCUCGUAAUGGACUAAAAGAAUUGGGCAUUUUCUAUGUAAUAUGGUCAAUAAAUUGGCAGUCGCAAGCAAUUACGAAAUAACAAAUUCUAGGGUUUUGGCAUAUACAAAAUCCUGAUUAAGGAGGGAUUAGGCAUUCAAAGAAGACCAUUUGAAGGCGACUAAGAAUCGAAAAACAUGAGAUGCAGGUAAUAAAUGAAAAAGCUUCUCACAAGCCUUAAGAUGCCUGGAAGACUAGGAUCCUAUUGCAUCCGUAGGGAUGGAAACAUCAAACUAUUUUGCUGAGGGUGAGGUAUACCACGAGACCUCUGUUCUUUUUUUUUCUGAUGUUGGUACUAGUUGGGUUCUAGAUUCCAAUGUCUCUGGGAACAGUUCUGGUCCAUGAUGACUGUAUGAAAAUUGGUAAUCACAUUGAUCAAGGUCUAUACAGAAUGAAAAAUCUGCUUUCCAAAAUGUUAAGUUAUAAAGUAAAAAUAAAGUUUUUUCUCAUAAGUUCAGAGGUUGGUUAGGAAAAAAGAAUUCAUGAUGCAUCUAUGUGAACUUAAGCUCAAGAACAUUGAUGUUUUCCUUGUGUUCCCAUUUCUACAUUUUCAAAAACUCAUGUUGUAAAGGUAUAAAAAACUGCAUUUGGGGCCGUUUCAAGAGAUAUCUCAUGCUUUUUGACCGAUAUUUGGUGUUACGAUUGACCUUUAUAAUAAUUUUGCACUAUGAUUGUGAGACCUACAUUCUGAAGCAACUUUGCCUUGAUAAAUACACCCACAGGCCACAAUAAUGUAUAUAAUGAAUGGUCUAAACAUUAUACUCCAAUAACUUUGUUUUAAUUUGUAUCCUCAGUUGUCACAUCAGUUUGACAAGUACCUUUUGCCUACCAAUGUUAUUUUGAUUACCCAUCUUUCUGGUCAGGCCUGUCAAGCAUAUCAGAUCGGGUUGAGUUUGGGUCCGUGUCAUAUAUAAAUGCGUCAGAUAUCCUUUAAUCUAAAUCUAACUCGUUUAGCUAAUUGGGUCGAAAAUCACAACCCUGACUUGAUCUGUGACAAAUCAGGUUGACCUUUUCCCUACCACUGUUGUGCCAAUGCUAAUUUUAAUUACCCUUGUUUGUGGGUAUGUUAAUAAGAUCCUCAAGGCAAGAGGUAUAUAUUUGCAACUUUGUAAUGAUGGGUGGGUUCUUGCACCAUGUAUCUUUAUUAAGCUUUAGCUGGACAUUUCUGCUGUCACAACAAGUUAUCCCUUUCUAAUUCGAGAAAUAGGACCCUCUUACCUCACAAAUGGUUUCUAGUUGCACCUUAAUUCUUAUUUGUGGCCCUACUAAAUUUGAUUUACCAAUCAAGAAUGAUUUUUUCGCAAUUGGUUUCGUGAUAUUGAAUGUUGGGUUUAUCUAUGUUGCUCAGCUCCGAUUAGUAUCACAUAAUUUGCUAAUGUCCUCGGGAAGUGUGCAUUGAAUUAUGGUCGGCUUUGGCCACCAAUUUGGGCAGAUUGCGAAUUGAAAAGGCAAAUCAUCUAGCGAAUUAUGUUUAACGUUUAACGUCCGAUCUAACCGUUAAAUUGAUUUAUGAGUCAUAGUGUUUGAUAAGACUUGGAGCUUCUGUUUUGCUUUUCAGUUUCUGGGUUUUGUGAUCUUGAUUAUUUGCCUUUUCACAGAAACAAAGCAAAUAAAAAAAAUGGAAGGAGUCUUUUAGGACCUUGCUUAAUUGCUUUUAUAUUAUGUAGAGUCUGUCACAAAUUAAUAAUUAUUUGGUUUUCGAUGAUAAUAAACUCUGAAUUAUUUACACUUCUUUCUUAUUUAUAUGUGCUUGGAGAGGAUAUUUGCAUUCAAGAGUUUAUUGGAAAUAAUCUCAAUAUUACAAGGUUAUGAUGUGUUAUCUAGCCUUUCAAACUCUUAAGCACGUGACAUGGGGGUAAUGACAUUUCUCACUUCUUUCUAAUUGAUUUGCUUUUAUAUUAGCUAAAUUCAACUUAUAUAAUAUGUAUUGUAAUUAUUAUUAUUAUUAUUAUUAUUAUUAUUAUUAUUUUGUCAGGACCUGUCAAAACGGUCAAUCGGUUGGGUUUGGAGUCAGGUUGUUUUCGGGUCGAGUUUUGAUCAACCCAACAGAUCAAAGAUUUUUAUAGUUUUUUCUUAUUUAAAAUUUUUUUAAAAUAUAUAUAAUAAUUUAUUGUUGCUUUUAUAAAAAAUAUUUGUGUAUCAAAAAAAGCAAUAUACCGUUAUAAUAAAGAAUGUUAGAUCAAAAUAUUUUAAAAUUGAAAAAAUAUUGGUUUCCAGCAAAAAAUGAUGAUGUGAAAUUGAAAAUGGAUCGAAACAGUUGGGUUUGAUCUAAUUUUUUCUCAUUUGGUCGGGUUUGACCUAAUUUUUGCUGACAGAUUGACUAAUUUUCGGAGUUGGAUUAAAUUUUGAGUGGCCUAAUUGUUUCAAAUGUUAAUAUACAACUACCGUAAUAGCUGUUAGUUUUGACCUUUUCUCGGAUGCGGUUAUGAAGUAUUUACGUGGUUUUGGAAAGGCGAGCAAGAACUGUUUGGUUUGUGAUAAUGCUUCGUUUUUAUUAGUAAGCCAGAUAUUCAGGGUCCCAUUUGAUUCAUUAGAUUUGAUCAAUACUGUGAAAUAUUUCAUAAGCUGCCUUUGGCCGGGUCCUGGAGCUUGUUGCAUCCCUCCUCGAACUCGAAUCUUAUCUGUGGCUGGGUCAAUAAACCGUAACCAUGCGUGGGAAAACGAAGAGACUAUUGGUGAUGUUGGCGGCAAAUUUUGAUCUGAUGGACUUUAAAGCUCUCACCUUGAUACAUUUGGGUAUCUCUAACAAAGCCUUUUGGAAUUUUGUAAAGGAGGAAAUGAUUAGCUAGUCUCCUGAGAGACUGUCUCUCUAAGAGUCAUCUCUCAGGCUUAGACCAUUAUAACUUAAUGACUACGUAUUGUAUUUUUAAUGUCUUUUUCUUACAUCAUGCUAAAUGCAUAACUACUGUAUCUUUAAUACUUAUUUAUAUCAUCCUUAAUACCUACUUACUAUA